rnacentral:rRNA from 1 species
GAUGAACGCUGGCGGCGUGCCUAAUACAUGCAAGUCGAGCGAACGGACGAGAAGCUUGCUUCUCUGAUGUUAGCGGCGGACGGGUGAGUAACACGUGGAUAACCUACCUAUAAGACUGGGAUAACUUCGGGAAACCGGAGCUAAUACCGGAUAAUAUUUUGAACCGCAUGGUUCAAAAGUGAAAGACGGUCUUGCUGUCACUUAUAGAUGGAUCCGCGCUGCAUUAGCUAGUUGGUAAGGUAACGGCUUACCAAGGCAACGAUGCAUAGCCGACCUGAGAGGGUGGUCGGCCACACUGGAAGUGAGACACGGUCCAGACUCCUACGGGAGGCAGCAGUAGGGAAUCUUCCGCAAUGGGCGAAAGCCUGACGGAGCAACGCCGCGUGAGUGAUGAAGGUCUUCGGAUCGUAAAACUCUGUUAUUAGGGAAGAACAUAUGUGUAAGUAACUGUGCACAUCUUGACGGUACCUAAUCAGAAAGCCACGGCUAACUACGUG